rnacentral:rRNA from 1 species
GUGAGGAAUAUUGCACAAUGGGCGAAAGCCUGAUGCAGCAACGCCGCGUGAGUGAUGAAGGCCUUUGGGUCGUAAAACUCUGUCCUUGGGGAAGAAAAAAAUGACGGUACCCUUGGAGGAAGCCCCGGCUAACUACGUGCCAGCAGCCGCGGUAAUACGUAGGGGGCAAGCGUUAUCCGGAAUUAUUGGGCGUAAAGAGUGCGUAGGUGGUUUUGUAAGCGUAGGGUGAAAGGCAGUAGCUCAACUAUUGUUAGCCCUGCGAACUGUGAGACUUGAGUGCAGGAGAGGAAAGUGGAAUUCCUAGUGUAGCGGUGAAAUGCGUAGAUAUUAGGAGGAACACCAGUGGCGAAGGCGACUUUCUGGACUGUAACUGACACUGAGGCACGAAAGCGUGGGUAGCAAACAGGAUUAGAUACCCUUGUAGUCC